rnacentral:lncRNA from 1 species
GCAUUUCUUGCAUUAUUAUUAUUAUUAUAUUUUUUUCUUUUUUUCUUUUUUUUUUUUAGCAGGAUCGACCUCGAUUCCUUCUUUCGCUCACAAUAAGUCUCAGCAACUUACCGGGCAGCACUCCACAAGUGCACUGAUUUGGGCUCAACCUCAGUCUGAGUAGUCUCGAUCUGAUCAAACAACUUGCCCCGGACUCACCAGAUGCCCUUUUUCUGCUUGGGACUUUGCUAUCAUGUCAUCAACAUAGCAUUCGAUUCUAUGAUAAAUCAUACCAUGAAACAAAGUCACUCUGGUACGUGGCACUAGC